rnacentral:rRNA from 1 species
UACGUAGGAGGCGAGCGUUGUCCGGAAUCACUGGGCGUAAAGCGCACGUAGGCGGUUUGUCAAGUUGGGGGUGUAAGCUCUGGGCCUGAACCCAGAAAUUGCCUCCAAAACUAGCAUACUUGAGUAUUAGAGGGGAAGCUGGAAUUCACGGUGUAGCGGUGAAAUGCGUAGAUAUCGUGGAGAACACCCGUGGCGAAGGCGGGCUUCUGGCUAAUUACUGACGCUGAGGUGCGAAAGCUAGGGGAGCGAACGGG